rnacentral:rRNA from 1 species
AGGGCACCACCAGGAGUGGAGCCUGCGGCUUAAUUUGACUCAACACGGGAAACCUCACCAGGCCCGGACACCGGAAGGAUUGACAGAUUGAGAGCUCUUUCUUGAUUCGGUGGGUGGUGGUGCAUGGCCGUUCUUAGUUGGUGGAGCGAUUUGUCUGGUUAAUUCCGAUAACGAACGAGACUCUGGCCUGCUAACUAGGCGUAUUUUGACAUCCUAAAGGCCCGCCGGCUCGGGGUUCGCUCCUUGUCGCGCGCGGUUUUUACUGUCGGCGUACAAACAAUUCUUCUUAGAGGGACAGGCGGCUUCUAGCCGCACGAGAUUGAGCAAUAACGGGUCUGUGAUGCCCUUAGAUGUUCUGGGCCGCACGCGCGCUACACUGAAGGAAUCAGCGUGUCCUCCCUGGCCGAGUGGCCCGGGUAACCCGCUGAACCUCCUUCGUGCUAGGGAUUGGGGCUUGCAAUUGUUCCCCAUGAACGAGGAAUUCCCAGUAAGCGCGAGUCAUAAGCUCGCGUUGAUUAC